rnacentral:lncRNA from 1 species
CCCAAAUACAGGAGCUUGGAGAAAUUUCCUGGGUUCCACAGGAGACACUGCAGUUUUCUUUGGUCCAGAAGGCCGCUGAGCUGGCUGCCACAAAGCCUGGACACAAGAAGAUCCCUCUGCAAGAGAAAAACAAUGUUAAUGCUUUGACGCCUAGUCAGUGGUGUAUAGCUGGUGGUAGUCGGUGGGUACACUUAAUAUGUUGUAAUAAUGUAAUAUUUCAUAUUCUGACCUUUGAAAAUUGAUGUCAUAUAUAUCCUGCACAUAGUAAAUGUAACUGUUUCACAAAGGUUGGAGGAGUUCCUGAAACAUUUUGUUCAAUAUCAAUGUGUUUUUUGCACCAGCAAAACGAAGAGAGAGAUUUUAUGGAAAAGAAUGAGGUUUUCC